rnacentral:sRNA from 1 species
GCUGCCCUCAUGUCUUUCUCAAAUGACUCCCCAUUA